CCAUAGCCCUGAUAGGAGGAAAACUCCUUUUGUGCUGUUCCCGAUAGCUAUCGGGAGGCACAAAAGAUUUGGAAGGACAGCAGGAAAAAGC
rnacentral:sRNA from 1 species